UAAAGCAAGGCUAGAACCUGGUCAGGCUAACUUAAGCAAGUCACCAAGAGAUUCAACGGUCGUGGAUUCAAACGUAACUCCAAUUACAGGGCAGGAAUCUAGAGUUACACUCAUACCUGAUAAUGUGGUAGCAGUACCCGGCGGAAAUGUAGGAUGUAGUACAGUAAACGGCAGCACCGGAACUGCGACAGCGUCAACGGCAAUUAGGGAACCGACGACUACAUGUGAUAUUUCAAUGACGUCAUCUCCGGGUGGCUCAGGAAAUAGUGUAAGCGCCAGUGCCGAA
rnacentral:misc_RNA from 1 species